rnacentral:rRNA from 1 species
UCUCAGUCUCUUACGGCUUCAGUGCCGUGAAUCCCUCUAAGAAGAGUUAUAGCAUGAGCGGCGGACUUGGGGUGCAGUGUGAUCCGAGGCGUCCAACNNNGCGCGCGCGCACAUCACGCAGCGAGAGCUACUCGGCACGCAACCCACUGAUCAAGAUCCAACCGACUAGUUAGCAGGGGAGAGUCUCGUUCGUUAU